rnacentral:rRNA from 1 species
UACGGAGGUGGCUAGCGUUGUUCGGAAUUACUGGGCGUAAAGCGCGCGUAGGCGGACCUGCAAGUCGGGUGUGAAAGCCCGAGGCUCAACCUCGGAACUGCCUUCGAUACUGCGGGUCUCGAGUCCGGGAGAGGUGAGUGGAAUUCCUAGUGUAGAGGUGAAAUUCGUAGAUAUUCGCAAGAACACCAGUGGCGAAGGCGGCUAACUGGCCCGGUACUGACGCUGAGAUACGAAAGCGUGGGGAGCAAACAGG